GGGCCCUCUGUGGGUGUGUGUCCUGCACAUGGCUUCGUCCCCAGCCAGGUGAUUAGGAGUGCUGCUGUGUAAUUAGCAAGUGCUGCUGUGUAAUUAGUGAUGGCUGCUGAGAUCUAAUGCAUCAGACAGAUCCCCCUUCCCUGCUUCCUGUCUGGUCUGUGUGGAGAUGCAUUAACUGGUGCUUACCCAUAACCAGGACUCUGCCCUCCCCUCCCUUCCCCACAGCUGCUGGGCAGCCUCGGAUCUGGGAGAAAAGGGUUGGAAAAGUCCCAGACUGGGGAGCAGCUCUGAGCCCUGCUCUGAGCAAUCCCAGACUGGGGAGCAGCUCUGAGCAGUCCCAGACUGGGGAGCAGCUCUGAGCAGUCCCAGACUGGGGAGCAGCUCUGAGCAGUCCCAGACUGGGGAGCAGCUCUGAGCAGUCCCAGACUGGGGAGCAGCUCUGAGUGCUGCUCUGAGCAGUCCCAGACUGGGGAGCAGACUCUGAGCUCCAGGAGCUGCUGGCAUGGGUACUUUGCCUCGAGUCAUGCAAAAAAAAUCCUGUUCCUAAAGGAACAAGUUGUAUGGAAUCAUGGACUGGUUUGGGUUGGAAGGAGCUUAAAGAUCAUCCUGUGCCAGCCCUGCCAUGGCAAGGACACCUCCCACUGUCCCAGCUGCUCCAAGCCCUGUCCAGCCUGGCCUUGGGCACUGCCAGGGAUCCAGGGGCAGCCACAGCUGCUCUGGGCACCUCUGCCAGGACCUCACACCCUCCCAGGGAGGAAUAAGCAUUCCCUUAAUGAAGUCUGAAAAUUUGAAUCCUGGUUCAGGUAUUGGCUUUGCUUCCAGGGCUGGUUCAACCUCAUGGUUAAAAAAAAAAAAAAAAAAGAAAAAUAGUCUUGUUUUCUCAGGAAUUGCCUCAUGUCUGAUUAGAUACUGAGUUCUCUUCAAAGCCAGAGGAUCUUUUAGGCCCUGCCUGGAUAAAAUUCUUUUAUUUAGUAGUGAGAUCAUGCAGGUAUCUGGAAAGAUAAGCCAGGUAAACAUUAAGGUGCCUUUCUCAGUAAGUCUGAGGUAGUGCUGAAGCCACUUGUCUGAGGAAUAAACCCUGUUACGCUGAUUUAUUCUGUAAUUUUUGCACACAACAGCCUUCUCCUGACUUCACAGAAACCUGCAGAACCCGCUCCCAGGUGUCAAAUCCAUUCUCUCAGGGCCACUAGAUCUGCUCAUGGGAAAUUUGGCAAUUAGCUGUGUGUCCUUCUGGUGGUUAAUCAAGGGUGGCCGUGCUGGGUUCGAGCCUGGAGGGGAGAGGCUGCUCAGGCUGGGGCCUGACUUCAUUCAGCCAGGAGCUGAGCUGCUGUGUGUGCAGAGAGGGAGGUGCUGCUGCAGGCAAACAUCCUCCUGGGCUCAGGGAAAGUGCUCUGGGCAGGCUUUGAGGGAUGAGGGAACAGAGGAAAGCACUGGGAGUGCUUGUUUGGAACCUCACUGGGCAAAUAUUUAGAAGAGAGAAGUGCAGAAUGUUGGCACGUGGCUCUUUCCUUCCUGCAGAUAAGGAUCAGCAGCUCAGUGGAUGAGAUUGUGUCGAGAGAUUUAUUUUCCUCAGAGUGUCUGGCAAACACAAAUCUGCAAAGGUGGUUCACAGGGGCUGGAGAAGACUCUGUGUAAAAAUUUAAACCAAAAAAAACCCUCAAACUCCAAAGGUGGUUCACAGGGGCUGGAGAAGACUCAGACUUUAGACUCAGACUUUAGAGAUGGUUCACAGGGCCUUGGAGUAGACUCUGUAAUAAUUUAAAACUAAAAAUGGUGGAAAAAAGCAAACCAAACCAACAAAAAGCCCAAAGGUUUCCUCUUGGAAAGGGGAUUUGUUGUUUAAGAGUGGUCUGCAAAGGGUUCUCCACUUUUGUGUCCCAGGUGGAAGCAUUGCUUAGGAGUGGAACUGUCCAGGAGAGCAAGUCUCAACUAGGAUGGAAAAUAAGCUUUGGGGUUUUAUAAUGUUUCUUCCUCCACAAGGAGCCAGAUGUUCUGUCUGAGUGGGAGUAUCUCAGAAAUUAGAGCUACUCCGAGACAGUAUUUUUCAC